rnacentral:tRNA from 1 species
GGAAGGAUGUCGGUAAUUGGCAACCAGCUGGGCUCAUUCCCCGGAUAUUGUAAGUUCGAAUCUCACUUCUUCCA